rnacentral:rRNA from 1 species
UACGUAGGGGGCAAGCGUUGUUCGGAUUUAUUGGGCGUAAAGAGCUCGUAGGCGGUUCCGUAAGUCGAGUGUGAAAAAUCUGGGCUCAACCCAGUGGAGCACUCGAUACUGCGGUGACUGGAGUACGGUAGAGGAGUGUGGAAUUCCUGGUGUAGCGGUGAAAUGCGCAGAUAUCAGGAGGAACACCGACGGCGAAGGCAGCACUCUGGGCCGGUACUGGCGCUGAGGAGCGAAAGCGUGGGGAGCAAACAGG